rnacentral:rRNA from 1 species
GAUGAACGCUGGCGGCGUGCCUAAUACAUGCAAGUCGAGCGAACGGACGAGAAGCUUGCUUCUCUGAUGUUAGCGGCGGACGGGUGAGUAACACGUGGAUAACCUACCUAUAAGACUGGGAUAACUUCGGGAAACCGGAGCUAAUACCGGAUAAUCUUUUGAACCGCAUGGUUCAAAAGUGAAAGACGGUCUUGCUGUCACUUAUAGAUGGAUCCGCGCUGCAUUAGCUAGUUGGUAAGGUAACGGCUUACCAAGGCAACGAUGCAUAGCCGACCUGAGAGGGUGAUCGGCCACACUGGAACUGAGACACGGUCCAGACUCCUACGGGAGGCAGCAGUAGGGAAUCUUCCGCAAUGGGCGAAAGCCUGACGGAGCAACGCCGCGUGAGUGAUGAAGGUCUUCGGAUCGUAAAACUCUGUUAUUAGGGAAGAACAUAUGUGUAAGUAAAUGUGCACAUCUUGACGGUACCUAAUCAGAAAGCCACGGCUAACUACGUG